CGUGUCGUGAGAUGUCAGGUUAAGUCCUGUAACGAGCGCAACCCUCGUCGUUAGUUAUACGUGUCUAACGAGACUGCCCGUGAUAAGCGGGAGGAAGGUGAGGAUGACGUCAAGUCAGCAUGGCCUUUAUAUCCUGGGCUACACACACGCUACAAUGGCCAGUACAAUGGGCAGCCAAGCCGCGAGGCGGAGCCAAUCCCGUAAAGCUGGUCUCAGUUCGGAUUGCAGGCUGCAACUCGCCUGCAUGAAGUCGGAGUUGCUAGUAACCGCGCGUCAGCCAUAGUGCGGUGAAUACGUUCCCGGGGAUU
rnacentral:rRNA from 1 species